rnacentral:lncRNA from 1 species
UAAACUAUCACCUUCUUGACCUGGUGGGUCCUUUUACCACCUUGGUGAUGGAGAUAUGGGAGCUGGAAAGGAAGCCACCCUCCCACUGACCCUUCACCACUGCACCCUCCCCAUCUGAGGACUCCAUUUUCUCACCUGUAAAUGGGGGUGAGAAUCUUUCUCCCAGCAGCUGGGGAGGAGAGGGUAGUGGAUGGCUCUGCUGACCUUGUCCUCUGGCCUUCCAGAAGCCAGGAGGAAGAUGCGCAGGGCCUUGGAACUGGGGGUGCUGAGUCAGCAUGUCAUCCCGCAAGAUCACAGCGACACGCUGGGUGACAUCGAACCCCCACUUCCUCCCCCAUAAAAUGGGUCACAAAAUUCUGACCUCAAAGGCCUUGCGGUGAGGGUUUGAGAGAAAAGACCAGGAGCCAGUCAAGUUCCCCUUCUUGGCUCCCAGUGGGGCUUAAAUGGGGGACGAGUGGCACAGUCACACUGCCAGAGCCCUGAGCCCAGAGGCCACAGAUUGCCGGGGCACCCGAACCGGGAAAGGAGGGGAGGAAAGGAGAAGUGAGAGGCAGGUGGGUGGCCGUGGGGGAGGGGAGGGCCCAUGGGGACGCGGCGAAGCGGGGAGGGGGCGCCGCUCCUGGGCGGCUGCAGCGAAUCAGGCCUGCAGCCCCGCCUCACGCAACCCAGGAGGUGGUUUCAUCACCUGUUCCCCAAGUACCUCAUUACAGGCGACAGGAAGAGCCCCUUGGAAAGCUGGGACCCCCCCCUCCCCUCUCUUGAGGGCUCAAGCUGUUCCGACCCCAGCUGCCAGCGACCCUCCCCUCCCCAGCAGGGGCCCUGGGCCUGCCUCCUACCCUGGGGGCCUGGGGAGAUGGUGCCCCAAGUGAGGGGCCUCUGUGGGUGACUUAGGGGCUGGCUCAGCCCACAGCGGUCCCAGAGGGCAGGUGGGCUCUGUCAGUGACUCUGGUGGGGCCAAGCUUCCGUGGGCCUCAGUUUCGUCCACCAGGAAAUGGGGAGACUCAAGGCUGCCUUGUUGAGCUGAGGAGCAAGUCUUCACAGCAGGUGCUCUACAGUUGCUAGGAGCUUUCAUGGUCAUAUGGUCAGCUCUGCUCAGCCCCGGGAGGGGCCCAGAUCAGAGCAGGGGACCUAGGCAGACUAGGCAGUGGGGGUUGAGGAAGCUCAUUCCUCAGAUGGACAGAUGAGGGUAGGGAGAUGCCCCACACAAGGAGUCCCCCAAACACAUGCAGAGCCCUUCAAAAUCCACAGAUGCUUAAAAUAUACAUAGAUAUCUUGGGCACAUGCAUCACCCCCAAACACAUGUGAAUCCCUCCGUACAAAAGUCCCCAAAAGAUGUGCAGUCCAAAAUACAGACCCCUCCAAACCCAUACAACUUUCCAAACACACAUAUCCUCAAAACACACUCAGAUCAUCCUGCAUAUGCAGACCCCCAAAUACACAUAGACCUCUCCAGACACACACCGGGCCCCUAACACAUUCCAAUUCCCCAAUUGCACACAAACUCCCAAAUACAUGCGGGCGCCCCCAAACAUACCAUGCCCCCCAAACACACGCAUGUUUUUUGUCCAUUUCCCGUAGAUCCCUGGACACAGGUAGGGCUCCUACAUCUGCAGUGGUAAUGCCCAACCCUCUGGCUCCUUAAGGCAGAGUGGUCCGCAGCUCCAGGGGAGAAUCAGGCUGGGGAGUCUGUGGGAAGUAAGCAUUUGGAGGGGGCCACAUAUUUGGAUGCUUCAUAGGAGUCACAGGCUACAGUGGAGCAGGUGGCAGGGGAUUGUAGAGAUCUUUGUGGUGAUCCUGGGAACUCUAGGGGUCUGAGAGUGGGAUGUGUCACCCACAGGCACUCGGAAUCCCAGAAACAGAAUGUUCCAGUUGGAGAAUGCCCCUAGGGGUUCCUUGUCCAUGGGUCCCUCUGGCACCCAUGGGGAAACUGAGGCCUAAUGGGGUCCCUCAGACCUCCUCUCCCCAGGUAUGCUCCUUGGAGGGCCCACUGUGGCCAUGUGCUGAGAGGCCAGGGCUGUGACUGUGGGCCUGGCCAGGCCAGGGUCAAUUCCCGGCUCCACCGCACAUUUACUGCCUGACAUGCUCUGAGGCUUAGUUUCCCCGUUUGUACCACGAGUCCCUGGGAGCUCCCCAGGAGCCUACCCACCUGUCCCUCCUCUUUAGAAAGGCCUCACCUACCAGCAAAUUCCUAGUACACCUUCUGCCCCUUUUCGGGCAUCUGAAAUAGCAGCCCCACACAUUCUGGUCACCCGCCUUGCCUAGGCUGGGGGGCUUUUCCCCUGGAACCCCCCUUGCCCAGAUCACUCAGGUCUGAGAAAC